GCGGGUGUGGCGAAAUUGGUAGACGCACUGGAUUCAGGUUCCAGCGUUUUUUGAACGUGCAGGUUCGAAUCCUGUCACCCGCA
rnacentral:tRNA from 1 species